GAUGAAGAACGCAGCGAAAUGCGAUACGUAAUGUGAAUUGCAGAAUUCAGUGAAUCAUCGAAUCUUUGAACGCAUAUUGCGCUCUCUGGUAUUCCGGAGAGCAUGCUUGUUUGAGUAUCAGUAAACACCUCAACUUCCAUAUCUUUUUUUGAAAUGGGAGUUGGACUUGAGUGAUCCCAACGCUUUUCCUCACCGAAAAGUGGCGGGUUACUUGAAAUGCAGGUGCAGCUGGACUUUUCUCUGAGCUAUAAGCAUAUCUAUUUAGUCUGCCUAAAAAACAGAUUAUUACCUGUGCUGCAGCUAACAUAAAGGAGAUUAGUUCUUGUGCUGACUGAUGCAGGAUUCACAAAGACAGCUUCGGCCGACUUUGUAAACUCGAUCUCAAAUCAAGUAAGACUACCCGCUGAACUUAAGCAUAUCAAUAAGCGGAGGA
rnacentral:misc_RNA from 1 species